AGUUUUGUGCAGAGGGAGCCUCAUGUAAUCUGUGAUGUUCAACUGAGGUGUGAUGAUUGCUAGUUGAAAACCCUAACCCUAUCCCUGUCUUAAGAGCUCAAAAUGUAGCGGUUGUUGGCAUAUUUUGCCAGUCUCUGUGCAGA
rnacentral:snRNA from 1 species